rnacentral:rRNA from 1 species
AGAGUUUGAUCAUGGCUCAGGAUGAACGCUAGCGGCAGGCUUAACACAUGCAAGUCGAGGGGUAGAAGGAGCUUGCUCCUUUGAGACCGGCGCACGGGUGCGUAACGCGUAUGCAAUCUACCUUAUACAGAGGGAUAGCCCAGAGAAAUUUGGAUUAAUACCUCAUAGUAUAAUUGAAUGGCAUCAUUUAAUUAUUAAAGUUCCAACGGUAUAAGAUGAGCAUGCGUCCUAUUAGCUAGAUGGUAAGGUAACGGCUUACCAUGGCUACGAUAGGUAGGGGUCCUGAGAGGGAGAUCCCCCACACUGGUACUGAGACACGGACCAGACUCCUACGGGAGGCAGCAGUGAGGAAUAUUGGACAAUGGGCGCAAGCCUGAUCCAGCCAUGCCGCGUGCAGGAAGAAGCAUCUAUGGUGUGUAAACUGCUUUUGUACGGGAAGAAACACUCCUACGUGUAGGAGCUUGACGGUACCGUAAGAAUAAGGAUCGGCUAACUCCGUGCCAGCAGCCGCGGUAAUACGGAGGAUCCAAGCGUUAUCCGGAAUCAUUGGGUUUAAAGGGUCCGUAGGCGGUUUAAUAAGUCAGUGGUGAAAUCUGGUCGCUCAACGAUCAAACGGCCAUUGAUACUGUUAGACUUGAAUUACUGGGAAGUAACUAGAAUAUGUAGUGUAGCGGUGAAAUGCUUAGAUAUUACAUGGAAUACCAAUUGCGAAGGCAGGUUACUACCAGUGGAUUGACGCUGAUGGACGAAAGCGUGGGGGAGCGAACAGGAUUAGAUACCCUGGUAGUCCACGCCAUAAACGAUGGAUACUAGCUGUUGGGCGCAAGUUCAGUGGCUAAGCGAAAGUGAUAAGUAUCCCACCUGGGGAGUACGUUCGCAAGAUGAAACUCAAAGGAAUUGACGGGGGCCCGCACAAGCGGUGGAGCAUGUGGUUUAAUUCGAUGAUACGCGAGGAACCUUACCAAG